AGAAUCAACGCUGGCGGAGUGCCUAACACAUGCAAGUCGCACGAGAAAGGGGCUUCGGCUCUGAGUAAAGUGGCGCACGGGUGAGUAACACGUGAAUAAUCUACCUCCGAGUGGGGAAUAACUGAGAGAAAUCUUAGCUAAUACCGCAUAACACUUACGAGUCAAAGCAGCAAUGCGCUUGGAGAGGAGUUCGCGGCCGAUUAGUUAGUUGGCGGGGUAAUGGCCCACCAAGACGAUGAUCGGUA
rnacentral:rRNA from 1 species